AGUGAACGCUGGCGGUAGGCCUAACACAUGCAAGUCGAACGGCAGCACAGUAAGAGCUUGCUCUUACGGGUGGCGAGUGGCGGACGGGUGAGGAAUACAUCGGAAUCUACUUUUUCGUGGGGGAUAACGUAGGGAAACUUACGCUAAUACCGCAUACGACCUACGGGUGAAAGCAGGGGAUCUUCGGACCUUGCGCGAUUGAAUGAGCCGAUGUCGGAUUAGCUAGUUGGCGGGGUAAAGGCCCACCAAGGCGACGAUCCGUAGCUGGUCUGAGAGGAUGAUAAGCCACACUGGAACUGAGACACGGUCCAGACUCCUAAGGGAGGCAGCAGUGGGGAAUAUUGGACAAUGGGCGCAAGCCUGAUCCAGCCAUACCGCGUGGGUGAAGAAGGCCUUCGGGUUGUAAAGACCUUUUGUUGGGAAAGAAAAGCAGCAGGUUAAUACCCCGCUGUUCUGACGGUACCCAAAGAAUAAGCACCGGCUAACUUCGUG
rnacentral:rRNA from 1 species